GCGGCCGCCUCGCCCGCUGCCCCGCCUCACUCCCUGGCGCGGUCUCUCACGCCCCCUUUGUCUCUGCGAGUCUCCGUCUCUGGCUGAGUUUCUGCCCGUCUCCCCUCCUGCCCUCGGAUCGCCCGAGCGGUUGGAAUCUUCCUCUCUCAAAUCCUGAAAUCUCGCCCUCUCCACCCGGAGGAACCCACCCCGUGCGCUCCCGCAGCCGCCUCCUCCAUCCCAAAACAACACUGCUGCUCCGGGGAGGUCUGGAGAGAAUAAUAAUAACCUUGCUUCGUCCCUUCCCUUUGAUCGCGAGGUUCAAAAUCACAUGCCCUACUGACAGUGUCUUCAAAGCCCCCUCUCAGUGUUUGGCAAGGAACAAUAUGCCAGUCCCGCUGCUGCUGGACAAGAGAGCCCGCUGGACCCCUCCCCAACCACCCCC